GCUGGUGUAGUGUAAUGGCUUGAGUGCUGGACUAUGACUCUGGAGACCAGGGUCCGAAUCCAUGGCCAGCU